GGGUGUGCCCUCACAGGGGGUACCAGCUACAGGUUCGGAGAACUUGUCCGGCGCCGCUCACCAGGGCGUCCCCGGGGCGGCUCUCAAGCACCCCCGGGCUCUUACCUUGGCCGUGACUGCCGCCAAACACAGGGGGACCACGGAAGAGCUGGGUGGCGCGGCGGCGCCGCCGCCGCCUACAAGGCGCAGAGGGUCCGGGUCGGGGUCCCAGCAGGCGCUGCCCUAGCUCAAGCGGCGGUGCCAAGCGCAGACUUCGGGGCGGCCCCCGGCUCCAAAAGCUGUGGGGAGGGUCCGGGCCGCCCAGGCUGGGCACAGUCCCUUCUUCCUCUCCCUCCGGCGCCGCUGCCUGGAGCUGCUCCCCGCCCUAGGGACUCUUCAGAGCCGGGGGCGCCCCGCACGGGCAGGGGCCUGCGUCCGCCUCGGGCCGGGUCUGGGAAGGGGGCGCUGGGGAGAGACGCGGGGCGGCCGCCGGGGCCGGGCCGGCUCCACCUCCCGCGCUCCCCGCGGCUUCGCCCCCUCAGGGCAGGGCCUGCCCGCUCCCGGCCCCGCGAGGCGAGCGCGGCCGCGCCCCCAGCUUCGGGCGCCCGGGCUCCGCGCGGCGGCGGGGCAGCGGCAGUCUGGCCGGGCCGGACGCCGAGCGCGGCGGCACGGAGGCUGCAGCCGGCCGCGGCGCCCCCUCCCCCCGGGCCUGCGCCGCCCGCCCGCCCGCCCGCGGCUCCGCGGUUAGGAGGCGCUGGAGAGGGCCUCGCCCCGGCCUGGGGCGCGGGGCCGGGGGCGCGGGGCCGGGGGAGGCGCCCCGGGAAGGUCACCGGAGCGGAGGCGCUGCGCAGCGCGGUGGGUGCGGGGAGCCGGGGCGGGCGGCCCCGCUGCCGCCGGGAGCGCUCGCCGGCCUCGGCCGCCGCCGCCGCCGCCGCCUUCGAGACGCUCCGGCUUCCCCGAGCGCCGGGCGCUCGGAGCUGGGCUGCCGCUGCAGCCGCCGCCGGCUGCCGGGCGCCGCUGGCCGGAGCCGGCGCGCGAUCCCCGCCUCCCGCGCCCGGCCAGGCGGGGGCCGCCGCACGGAGGCCCGCGGGGGGAUGGGGGGGCGCGGGCGGGCGCUGGGGUCCGGGCUCCGGGCUGGCCCCGCCGCCGCGUGCCCAGAGCUCCGGGCUCGCUCAGCAGCUGCAGUGA
rnacentral:lncRNA from 1 species